AAUAAGUACAGUCAUAAGUUUCAGCUCUCAAAUUUGAUCAUUCGUUUUAUUUAAAAAAAAUUUAUAAUUAGCAUUUUUGUUGUUAUAAGAUAAUAAAACAUAAAUAGUACUUUACUCGUAACAUAUGUUUUUAAUUUUUUUUAAAUAAGACGAACGGUCAAAGUUAGGCGCGGAAAACUAUGGCUGCACUUAUU
rfam:Oryza sativa Japonica Group DNA, chromosome 5, cultivar: Nipponbare, complete sequence.